UGCAUGCAGCCAAUUGACACACCUGAGGCAAUUAUUUAGGCUUGCUCCAGCUUUCCCUAGUCAGAUGUGAGGGGGAGAGCUGGAGACAAAGGAGCUACAGAUCCGAGAAAUCCAGUGAGUUUGGAGCCUUGGAGCUGCCAUACUCUCAUCUAUUAUUGGAAUUGGCCAGGUGAUCCCUUUUUAGGGAAAAAGAUGGCGAGCUUCUGAAAACUGGCUGGAGCCAGGAGAGCCUUAAGAAUCACUCCACAGUGGACUGGUCUGUAUCAUUUCCCCCCUCCAUCUCACCACUCAGGCAUACACUCCAUUAUUCACCUCUUCAUCUGAAACAACUUGCGCUGGGACAUUCUUCAACUUAAAUAUCUGGAUAAUCCAACCAUGGAUUUCUGAAUGUGUGUUGGUCAGACUCUGGACUGAUCAGCGGGGAAUUUAAGACCAGUUGUGCACAAACAAAAGGAUUGCCACAGUACUGUGUAUAUAUAUUUUUUUGUAUUUAUUUUGGGUUCUAUGUAUGUUGUCUUGUAUUGUUUACUUUAAAUUUGUCUAAUACAUGGUAUUGAAAGCAGUUUUGUGUCGUUUUAUUGAUUACUGACAACGGCUCCAGUAGACGAAUUCUAGUCUUCUGAUUUUCUUCCAUCUAGUCCUUUUACAAUUUAAAUAGUGCUACAUUAUUGGCGAGCUAGCCAGGAGCUGUUUUGAUCAGUAAUCAAUAGAAAACAGUUGAGUUGCACAAAUAAGGUUCCUACUCACCAAUUCAAUUUCCAUUAUGGAGGUUUUUGAAACCCUUGGUCUAAAAAUCCCUAACACAGUAUUGAUUGAUGGAGUCCCAGAGAACCCCACUGAUGAACUUAUUGAUUUUCUUGAACAGUAUGGUGAUAUUAAGCAGAGAACUACCAUCGAUUCAUCUGAAUCAGAAUUUGAUCAAAUGUUGGUUGUUGAAUUUGAUUCUGGGUUGUCUUUAGCAUGCUUAUCUCCAAUAUUACCAUAUACAUUUACAUCAAG